rnacentral:rRNA from 1 species
GGGGAAUAUUGCACAAUGGGGGAAACCCUGAUGCAGCGACGCCGCGUGGAGGAAGAAGGUCUUCGGAUUGUAAACUCCUGUUGUUGAGGAAGAUAAUGACGGUACUCAACAAGGAAGUGACGGCUAACUACGUGCCAGCAGCCGCGGUAAAACGUAGGUCACAAGCGUUGUCCGGAAUUACUGGGUGUAAAGGGAGCGCAGGCGGGCGAUCAAGUUGGAAGUGAAAUCCAUGGGCUCAACCCAUGAACUGCUUUCAAAACUGAUUGUCUUGAGUAGUGCAGAGGUAGGCGGAAUUCCCGGUGUAGCGGUGGAAUGCGUAGAUAUCGGGAGGAACACCAGUGGCGAAGGCGGCCUACUGGGCACCAACUGACGCUGAGGCUCGAAAGUGUGGGUAGCAAAC